CACAUUAACCUGUGCACUCUGUCGUCUCGGUCUAGAAAACUCUUGCCGGAUCAAGCGAAAUUAUUGCACCGGGUCUAAAGGGAAUUCUGCGUGGAGAAAGAGAGCUACAGUGUGAAAUUGGAUAUUCUGAAGCGAGCGGCAGGGAGGAAGCGCCAACAUGAGUGCGCAUCUCUGGGCACCCUCGUUAUCAAGAGAAGCAGUCCGGUCAAAAACACGCCCGAUGGAACCGAGCAGACAGGAGAGAAGUUGCAAAGAGGUUUAGCUCGACAUCAGAGGGGGGAUUCAUUCAGCUACAGCGACAAUAUUCAGCUCUUGCUCGGCUCGUCUCUACGUGUCCAAGGACUAAUCGUCGGAGUGGUGCGUUUUACGCGCAUCUUUUCCAGGAAUCCUGUCUCACGGUUGUACUUGUUUCAUUGCAAUGUGCGCCCGCGUGUCUGUGUUUCUGUGUGCGUUCAUUUGUGGAGGGCAGGAGCGGUGGUGCUACCAGACGCCGAGAAGAUAUUAAAUCACGCGGUCAUAUAGCUUACAGAAACUGAUGGGGUAAGCUAAAGUGUGAGAGAUUGCUCCUCACUUUGUCCGCUAGUAAAUCUUCACUUUAUCAGGCUCUGUCAGGCAGCCGCUUCCACACAAGAUUGAAAUGGCCGGCUCCGCGUAAAGUGCAGUCCGCGGAUAAAGGGAUUCUCCUUCUCUGCAGGGCUAAAUUGACUUGCGACUCCGCGUAAGAGUCAGGCAGGGAGGCACGCCGGCAGACAGGUUGAUAUGACUCUCACAUCCGACAAACUCAUCCCUUCUUUGCAGCAGCAAUGGAACUGGACAGCGAUGGAAAGGGCACAGGAAACCCGAAGCCCAUGUAGAUCGAUCAUGUAACUGCCAGGCAGCAUUGUAGUAUUAAUGGCUAUUUCAGCCCUGAAAUUGUCUGAUGCUCUGCUGACUCACAAAGGAUGGAACCUGCAUCCCUGACGGUAUUAAUGCACCACUCACUGAGGCAUGUCGGACCCCACCGUUGUCCAUUAUGCUGUGGCGAGUGCAGGUCUGGUGCCAGCACGACUCUGUUUUCACCUGCACGGAGGCUCUCACCGGGGGAGCAGAGACGCCCCAAAGUGUGUCAGCAAAGUGUCAGCAUCUGCAGGGAAAAGCCAAUCCCAGAAGCAGCAGCCACUGAGCCUGCUAUCACUUGUGAAACGCAACACCAACUCCAAUAGUGCUGAGGAAGCUCAAGAGAAGAGGCAGAAUGUGCUGUGCUGCGCUGUGGUCACACACCUUUGCAAUGACCUAUCAGAGUCGUGCAACCAACAAACCCCACGGCCCUUUCAAAUACCCUUUCUACUGAUCUGAAUAAUUGCCUGAGGAUUUUUUUUGAGGUCACGGCAGAAUUAUGACUCCAAAUGCCUAUGGUGGAACUUUGCUGAGUUUUCUAUAUUCAGUGAUGAGUAUAAUUAUCCUCUUUAAUUGAUUAAUUAUUAAUAGCACUAAGGUGACAUUGUGAGCCAGUAUUAGCUGUCUCCAGAUAACUGGAUCCCGUUACUGCAGCCUUAUUCAUCUAGAGUUUAUUCAGGGCACUACGUCGCCGGAAUCUGCUUCUCGGCUGUGGAAACAUUUCUCUUUUUAAUGUAUCAUUCAGAGAGUAAGCUCUUCAAACGCACACGCAGCCUGUGAUGCACUUAUCACCAUCCACGGCGUAGAUGAAUAGUCUGAUGCAGCGACACAGAGUAAAAGAAGAGCAAGGUCACAGCUUCUCUCCCUCAAAAAGAAUUUGGUCUGCGCGCAGCCAGGAAUUUGUCUUCAUGUCUACGGGAAUUAUUACGCACUCUGAUCCACAUUACUUCAAGGACGACAGCUCUCACAUUCUGCUUCAUUUACAAUCAGUAGCAUGAUGGCUUUCAAAUGCUAUUUCACCAAGAUGCUCGGCUAGAGAAAUGUGAUUUUAUAUUUAACAUUUGAAGUGAUGACUCCCUCCUUCCAUGGAGAUUACUCGUGAAGUGGUUCGAGUCACUUAACUGUUACUGGAAGAGACAAACCUCUCAUGCUUUUAUUCUCCAUAGAGAAACUUGUGCAAACUAAAACUGCGUAAUUUGGUUAUUUGACCUUGUUAUAUAUCCUUCCUCUGUGGAGAUUUUUUAUUUUAUUUUAUUUAUUUAUUUUUUCAAACCAAUGCCAUACACCUAUAGUCAAUUUUUAGGUAAAGAGAACAUGUGGGUUUUUGCACCUUUGAACAAAGCAGAGAUGGCUGAUGUGCAUGUGCAUGUGCGUGCAUGUAUAUAUCUCUAAGCAGAUGUACAGAGCGCGGUGUCUGGUGUUUGCUUGGGAGCCAGGGCCACUGGUACAGACUACUACACCAUGCAUAAUCUGGUUGAGGAGAACAAAGAUGUUCUACAAACAGUGUUUGUUUGGAUCAGGACGAUCCCAGCAUCCAGAACCCGAGGGAACAGUGGGUCAUUCACAAGACACAGAGCGGAGGGACCCAGCGGAGGGACGAGCUCCAGGUCUCUUUAAAAAUUCAGCAUAUCCCCAGACUCCAGGGCCUAGAGAAUAACAAGGAGAGGAAUAGGGAGGAAUUGUAACGUCUUCUUAUGAGCUUUUUACAGUAAAAACGAUGGGACUGGUUGAGAGUUCAUGUUCAAAGUCAAACCCGGUUACAUUGGUAAACUGACUGCAGGCAGUCCUCUUUGCAUAUUGCACAAUAGAUGAGAAAAUAGUUUCUAAUACCCAGAAUGUGUAAUAAAGAGUCGGGUUUACCCCGGCGUCUGUCUAAUUAUCCAGGAAGAUGGUUUAAGGUCAUCAUUAAAAGUUGUCAGGUGCUUAUGCGUAACUCUUAUGAGUUAAAUAGGCGGCGGGGGAUCUUGCAUAGAAAUUGGGGCACUUGUUUGUUUGUUAGCUCCCUGUGGCUUCGCGCGAAACAGCAAAUGAAUGAGCGCAAAGCCUCACGCCCAAAGUGUCUGCCAGACGAGACUUUACGCUCUCAAGUCAAAUCCCUGACGACCAGCUGAUUGCUGUGAGCCAAGCUGGAGGCUUAAAAUACAAAUAGACACGUUUAAUGUGCGUGUACAGACCCACAGUAUGUAACGUGUUUUUGGGAACAUCCCAAGCAAGUAGUUGCCAUUUGGAAUUUGAAUUUAAAUAACCCCUUUACAGUAAUUUUGUUAAUGUACAUAUACCUGUGAUAGAGCUCGGGGAUUAUUUAAUUUUGGGAAUUCUUGAUGCAGAUUUUCAUCAAGCUACUUCCUCGUGGAUGUGGGAAUGGCACUGUGCAGCGAGGCCCUCAUGAUUUGCCUGCAAGAACACAGCCUCCAUAUCACACAGUGAUCAGAGGAGCCAGACCAU